AGGAACUUAGGUUUUCUAUGAACAUUUCCAUUCAUUGAAUUUUUCUGCAUCUUAGACGGCAGGCGAGUAAACCACACCCACUGUAUCGUAAAGAACAUUACACUGUCUAUCAAACAACAUUAUUUCUAGAGUGAUACUCGGCGGUAUAUUAACGGUGCACAGGCA